rnacentral:tRNA from 3 species
GGGCGCUUAGCUCAGUUGGUUAGAGCACCUCGUUUACACCGAGGGGGUCGGGGGUUCGAGUCCCUCAGCGCCCACAA